rnacentral:rRNA from 1 species
GACGAACGCUGGCGGCGUGCUUAACACAUGCAAGUCGAACGGAAAGGCCCUGCUUUUGUGGGGUGCUCGAGUGGCGAACGGGUGAGUAACACGUGAGUAACCUGCCCUGUACUUUGGGAUAACUUCAGGAAACUGGGGCUACUACAGGAUAGGAGCGCCUGCUGCAUGGUGGGGGUUGGACAGUUUCGGCGGUGGGGGAUGGACUCGCGGCUUAUCAGCUGGUUGGUGGGGUAGUGGCUUACCAAGGCUUUGACGGGUAGCCGGCCUGGGAGGGUGAACGGCCACAUUGGGCCUGCGAUACGGCCCAGACUCCUACGGGAGGCAGCAGUGGGGAAUAUUGCACAAUGGGCGGAAGCCUGAUGCAGCAACGCCGCGUGCGUGAUGACGGCCUUCGGGUUGUAAACCGCUUUCGCCUGUGACGAAGCGUGAGUGACGGUAAUGGGUAAAGAAGCACCGGCUAACUACGUG